UACAGAGGUCUCAAGCGUUGUUCGGAUUCAUUGGGCGUAAAGGGUGCGUAGGCGGCGUCGUAAGUCAGAUGUGAAAUUUCAGAGCUUAACUUUGAAACUGCAUUUGAUACUGCGGUGCUUGAGGACUGGAGAGGAGACUGGAAUUUACGGUGUAGCAGUGAAAUGCGUAGAGAUCGUAAGGAAGACCAGUGGCGAAGGCGGGUCUCUGGACAGUUCCUGACGCUGAGGCACGAAGGCCAGGGGAGCAAACGGG
rnacentral:rRNA from 1 species